GACGAACGCUGGCGGCGUGCUUAACACAUGCAAGUCGAACGGAAAGGCCUGCUUUCCCUUGUGGAUUGCGGGUACUCGAGUGGCGAACGGGUGAGUAACACGUGAGUGAUCUGCCCCCAACUUGGGUAUAAGCCUGGGAAACUGGGUCUAAUUCCCGAUAGGACUGCAGGGUGGUGCCUGUGGUGGAAAACGACUUUCUUGUGGUUGGGGAUGAGCUCGCGGCCUAUCAGCUUGUUGGUGGGGUAAUGGCCUACCAAGGCGGCGACGGGUAGCCGGCCUGAGAGGGUGGACGGCCACAUUGGGACAGGGAUACGGCCCAGACGCCUGCGGGAGGCAGCAGUGGGGAAUAUAGCACAAUGGGCGGAAGCCUGAUGCAGCGACGCCGCGUGGGGGAUGACGGCCUUCGGGUUGUAAACUCCUUGCGACCGCGAGGAAGCCACCUGGUUGGAAGGGUGGUGACGGUAGUGGUAGAAGAAGCACCGGCUAACUACGUG
rnacentral:rRNA from 1 species